GACGAACGCUGGCGGCGUGCUUAACACAUGCAAGUCGAACGGAAAGGCCCUGCUUUUGUGGGGUGCUCGAGUGGCGAACGGGUGAGUAACACGUGAGUAACCUGCCCUUGACUUUGGGAUAACUUCAGGAAACUGGGGCUAAUACCGGAUAGGAGCUCCUGCUGCAUGGUGGGGGUUGGAAAGUUUCGGCGGUUGGGGAUGGACUAGCGGCUUAUCAGCUUGUUGGUGGGGUAGUGGAUUACCAAGGCUUUGACGGGUAGCCGGCCUGAGAGGGUGACCGGCCACAUUGGGACUGCGAUACGGCCCAGACUCCUACGUGAGGCAGCAGUGGGGAAUAUUGCACAAUGGGCGGGAGCCGGAGGCAGCAACGCCGCGUGCGGGAUGACGGCCUUCGGGUUGUAAACCGCUUUCGCCUGUGACGAAGCGGGAGUGACGGUAAUGGGUAAAGAAGCACCGGCUAACUACGUG
rnacentral:rRNA from 1 species